UGAUUAAUACUCACAAUUCAAUACUUUUAUAUAAUUGAUACAUUUUACCUGUAGCUAAGAAAAUGUCUGAUCAAUGCAAUAUGUUCAAGAAAGCAAAGAAUCACAAGAAAAUGCAUGCCACUCGUCCUGAAGUAGUUGAACUAUACAAGAAUAAUACAUUUGUGUCCGAUUCUUUGUCUUCAACGUGUGUCAGCUCUGUUAAAUUCACAGCUGAUGGACAGAAGAGCACGAAAACUAUUGGCAAAUUGAGCGACCGACAUUUAAAGGCUAAUCUUAAGUUACCAGAGCUCGAGGAACGUUGUGCGAUUUCUUCAAAUAAAAAUUUGUACAAUCUGUCAAAACAAUUGGCCGACUACGAAGCUGAAAAUCAGUCAGAUGAAAAUUCUAAGGAGUUUCAACCUAAAGGGGAUAGACUUCAAAACAACUUGGAUCGGUCUCGAUCAAUGCGUAGUGACAAUAAAGAUUGCAACUUAAAUCAAACAUAUAACAUAGUGGAUAAUUCAUCCGUUUCCCUAAAUACGGAAUAUAAAGACUAUAAAAUGCCUAAAGUAAGGCCAGUUCAUAGUGUGAAAAGAAAACAAAAGAAAAUCAAAAAAAUAAUGAAUAAGAAGAACUCAACUUCUUCAUCUGAUGAAAGUUGCUAUAAUACGGCUCGAUCUAGUCAACCACAAGCACGAAACGAAAAGCACAACGAUAAGUCGUUUAUUUCUAGCAACAAGACGUACAAAUUGCUAAUUAUUUGGUCGAACUUCAACCACAAGAGAAACCAGAAAAGAAAACUUUAAGCCAAUCAAAUCGAUUGAAGCUCAAUAGCAGUUUAUUAAACUUGAACGUGGAAACUAGAUUCAAAGAAUUUAUUCAACUAAUCAAACUCACAUUGCAAACUAUUGAUGAUUGGUACACCUUUACACUUCUACUUUUUCUGGGUACUGCCGCAUAUCUCAUCUAUAUACUGUGCUAUGAUAUCAAUAUAUAUGUAAAUGAGGAGAGACGUUAUUUGGCCAAAAUGCGAUCAUCUGGGAUUGUUUUAAAAUGUUUUUACUAUGUUAUGCGCCUGCUAAAGGUGCCAAUUUUUUAAAUUUGUAUUCUCUCGGGCUUAGUUUUGCAGUUUUCCAGUAAUACAAAUUUAAGUCACAUUUAAUCUAUGCACAUCCAUUUGCCGCA